ACAGUCGGUUGCUCCCGGCACCAAGGCCGCAGGCGGCGGUCGGUGCAGGGCGCCCCGCUGGCGUAGUAGUCCAUCCCGCGCAGACAGUAGUGGCGGCCCGAGCAAGCACUUUCGUAACCAUGGAAGGGCAGGCGGCCGGGCAGCGGGUCCACGCACCCGCAUCGGGGCGUGAUCCGCGGCAGCUGCUGGUUCCGCGACAGUGAGUUCAGCAUGUUCACCAUCACUUCGCGCUCUGCUCCCGCGGGUCCCCAGCGCAGGAGACCCAAAGACAGAUGCACAGGGAUGGGAAGAGGCCGAGUCACGGACAGAGUGAGGCGGAGACAAAAGCCAGGACGGAUAGAUUCAGGGUUCCACCCUCUCCAGGACCCUCGGCCUCCUCCCCGUCCUUCAGAUGGAGUUUCGCUCUUCUCACCCAGGCUGGAGUGCAAUGGCACAAUCUUGGCUCACUGCAACCUCUGCCUCCCGGGUUCAAGUGAUUCUCCUGCCUCAGCCUCCCAAGUAGCUGGGAUUACAGGCGCCUGCCACCACUCCCAGCUAAUUUUUUUUUUUUUUUUGUAUUUUUAGUGGAGACGGGGUUUCACCAUGUUGGCCAGGCUGGUCUCAAACUCCUGACAUCAGGUGGUCCACCCACCUCAGCCUUCCAAAGUACUGGGAUUACAGGCGUGAGCCACCUCACCUGGCCUAACUGCUUCUUAACAGCUUUCAAAUAAUCCUUAUUUUUGCCUUGGCCCUGUCCCAUCCUCAGUUCCAGAGAAGACUAGGAUUACCAGUUCCUGAGCCUUUUGAAAAUUCUACAGUUUUAAGUUGAAUUAUGGCUUGGCUUUUCCAUUGCUUGCUUUAGAUUCAGCUUUCUCCGAUCUGCUAAGUCAGUUACUACUUAUUUAUCAUCUUUUCCAGCUUCCAAAAUUGUGUCGCCAUUGCCUCUUCCUUCUCACUCUCCUUGUGAGUUUAUCUCUUAAAUAUUCAUUUACUGUAGUUUUAGAGGGGUUUUAGGAGGGAGUCAAAACAUGUGUUCAAUUUUAACCAAGAGAAUUAUAAUUCUUUAUAUAUUCUGUAUAUUAGUCCUUUACUAUUGGCACCUAUACAUGUUGCAAAUGUAUAUAAAAGAUAUUUAUCUUUUCUGUUUGUGGCUUCUGUCUUUACAUUUCUUUCCUCUCUCUUUCUUUUUUUUUUUUUUUUUUUGAGACAGGGUCUCACUGUUGCCCAGGCUGGAGUGCAGUGGCACAAUCACAGUUCACUGCAGUCUCUACCUCCUGGGCUAAAGCUAUCCUCUUGCCUUAGCCUACCGAAUAGCUGGGACUACAGGUGCACACCACCACACCCAGCUGAUUUUUUUUUAAAUUUGUUUAUAGAGACGAUGUUUCCCUGUGUUUCCCAGGGUGGUCUUGAACUCCUGAGCUCAAGUGAUCCUCCUGCCUUAGACUCCCAAAGUACAGGUGUGAACCAUUGCACCUGGCUUUUACUUUUCUUUAUAGUGUCUUGAUGAACCUCUUCUUGUGUGGUCAGUGCUUUCUGUGAAUUAUUUAAGAAAUUAAACCAUACUCUCAGAUAAUGGAGACAAUGUUCUGUAUCUCCUUGUAAACACAAAAGUUUUACUUUCCAUAUUUAAUCUGUCAGGAGUUUGGAUAACUCAUCUUCUUUAAGUGUGUUACAGCUAUUUCUUGAACUUUUGCCCUUCUCUAUAAAUUUUAAAAAGUUUAUUGAAGUCUUCAAAAAAUCCUUUUGGGAUUUUAAUUAGUAACUGGGACUACAGGCACACACUACCAUGCCCUGCCAAUUUUUGUAUUUUUUGUAGAGAUGAGGUUUCACCAUAUUGCCCAGGCUGGUCUUGAGCUCCUGAGUUCAAGCAAUCUGCCUGCCUCAGCCUCCUAAAGUGCUGAGAACCACGCCCGGUGGCACUGAAUCUUUAUGAUAGUAACUAUUCCCAUUCGUGAGCAUGUUAUAUCUCUCCAUUUAUUUAAGUAUUUUUAAAAAAGUAUUCAAUAAAGUUUUAUAAUAUUAUCCAUAUAGUUUUACAUACAUUGUUAGAUUUCUAAUUAUCUUUAUUUUUUGAUGCUAGAAUGAUGUAUAUUUUAAAAAUUAUGCUUCCUAAAUAUUUGUGUUAAGAAAUGUGAUUGACUUUUAAUAUUUAUCCAAUUAUUCUAAUAAUGUGUGUAGAUUUUUUUUUUUUUUUUUAAGACUAGUCCAACACACUAGUGAGGAGAGAAAGAGUGGAACAAGGAGUUUGAUCUGUAACUGACUGUGAACAAUCAAUUGAGAUAACUCACUACCUUGGACCAGCCAAUUUGUAGAUUCUAUAUAUGCAGUUGUAUUAUCUGCAAAUAAUGACAGUUUUGUUUUUUUCCUUUCCAUUUCUUAAAUCUUUUUACUUUUUUUUUUGUGGUGUCCUUGCCAGGACCUCCAGUGCAAUGCUGAAUAGAAGUAGUGAACAUCCUUGCCUUGAUUCCAAUUUUUAAAAGAAUGCUUCUAACAGUUAAUCAGAAUAAUGUUGGCUGUAUAUUUUUUGUAUAUAUUUUUUAUCAGGUUAUAUUUGCUAAGUUUUUCUUUUUUAGUUAUAAAUGGUUAAUAAAUUUUAGUAACUGCUAUUUCUGCAUCUUUUUAAAAUGGCUUCAUUGAGGUAUAAUUUACAUACCAUAAAUUUCACUCAAACUGUACAGUUCAAGAAUUUUUACUAAGAUCUCAUGUCCAUUUCUGCAUAUUUUGAAAUGAUCUUCUGUUUUUUUUCUUGAAUCUGUUAAUGUGAUGAAUGAUAUUUAUUUUUCUAAUGUUAAACUAUCCUUGCAUUUAUGAAAUAAAUACAAUGUAACCAUCACAAAUUAUUUUUUAUACACUACCGGAUACGGUUUUCUAAUAUUUUAUUUAGAAUUUUUGCUUUUGUAUUUAUGAAUGAAUUGGACUGUAUACUUUUAUUUUCUUAUACACUUUUGAUUAAUUUUUUUUUGUGGGCUCAAGCAUUCCUCCUGCUUCAGCCUCCGCAGCAGCUGGGACCAUAGGUGUGUGCCACCACACCUGGCUAAUUUUUAAAUUUUUUUGUAGAGACGGGGGUCUCACUAUGUUGCCCAGGCUGGUCUUGAACUCCUGGGCUCAAGCAAUCCUCCUGCCUCAGACUCCCAAAGUGCUAGGAUUACAGGUGUGAGCCACUGCACCUGGCCUUCUUGAUUAAUUUUGUAUCAAAGUUAUGCUGGGUUCAUAGAAUGAGUUAGGAAGCAUCCUCUUUUUUUCUGUUCCCUGACAGAGUUUGUAUAAGAUUAAAACAACUGUUCUUCGAGCAUUUGAGGAAUGUAACUGUUUAUCUAUGCUGGGUGUUUUCUUUGUGGAAAGUUUUCAAAUUACUGGUUUAAUUUUUUAAAUCGUUAUAGGAGCAUUCAGAUUUUUUCCAAUUCUUGAAUUGGUUUGGCAAGUUUUAUUUUUCUUGUGUUUGUCCAUUUGUUUUCAAUUUUAUUAGCAUAAAGUUGUUCAGAACGUUCUCUUACUUUUAAUUUCUUCUACAUCUAUUGUUAGACCCUUCUUUUAUUUGUCUGUGCCUUGUUUUUCUUAAUUCUCUAGAGAUUUGUCUAUUUUAUGAGCCUCAUCAAAGAAACAACUUUUGCCUGUUCAUCUUGUUGAAUCUUUGCUUUCUAGUUUAACUUUUGCUCUUAUUUUCAUUAUCUCCAUUCUUCUAUUUUUCACAUUUAUUCUUUUCCCCAUAAGUUGUUAAGUCUGAUGCUCAGGUCAUUUAUGUUUCACAUUUUUUUAGACAAGGAUUUAGGGAUAUAGGUUUUCCUCUACAGCUUUUAUUGUACCCCACAAGUUUUGAUAUGCAGUCUUUUCAGUUCUGAGUAUAUUUCCAUUUGUUUUGAUUUCUUAUUUGACCCAUUAUUUAGAAUGGUGGUUUUCAAAAUUUUAAACUCACAAAGGAUUUUGGUUAUCUUUUUGUUGUUGAUCUGUAAUUUUAUUACAUUGAGGUUAGAGACAGUUAUUUUGUAUGAUGUCAAUCUUAGAAUUCUGUUUAUGUUUGUUUUAUGACUUAGUACUUGGUCCACUUUUAUCAUGUUCCUUGUAUGUUUAAAUCUGUAGUAGUUGGGUUCAGGGCUUUAUUUAUGUUAAAUAAAUCAAGUAUACUAAUUAUAUUGCGAGAGUUUUAGAUCUUUGCUUUUUUUGGGGGUUGGGGAUGUCUGCUUGACCAAUCAGUAAUUGUAGUGUUACAAUCUAAUAUGGUAUAUUUUGCCAAUUUCUCCAUCUGGUAAUUCUUUAUUUUUAUUUUUAAAACAUUUUGUAGAGAUGAUAUCUUGCUUUGUUGCUCAGGCUGGCAUGGUUUGUUUGUUUGUUUGUUUUGUUUUUUGAGACAGGGUCUUACUUUGUCACCCAGGCUGGAGCACAGUGGUGUGAUCGUGGCUCAUUGCAGCCUCAAACUCCUGGGCUCAAGCCAUCUUCCUGUCUCAGCUUCCUGACUGUAGGCACACACCAUCACACCCAGCUAAUUUUUAAAUUUUUUUGUAGAGAUGGGGUCUUGUUAUGUUGUCCAGGCUGGUCCUAAACUCCUGGGCUCAAAUGAUCCUCCUACCUGGGCCUCCCAAAGUGCUAGAAUUACAGGUCCUUCUAUUAAUUCUAUCAGGCCAAUACAAGUUUGUAAUUAUAAUAUCUUCCUGGUGAAUUGAAACUUUGUCAUUUAUGUGGUGAUCCAUCUAAAAACCGUGUGUGUGUGUGUGUGUGUGUGUGUGUGUGUGUUUAAUCUGAAAAUCUCUUUUGUCUGUUACUUUUUAGCUUACUCAGUUUUUUGUUAUUGUAUCUGUAUCAGUCAAAUUUGGAUCAGAGAAACCACUUUUAGUGAUAUAGCAUAAGGGAUUUACUUGAGAGAUGAGACUUUACACAAUUGUGGAUACUGGUUAAGAACUCUGCAAAGCUGUUGUCUUUGCAUCUAUUUUUAAGCCUGAAGUCAGUGGCUGGCAUCAGGAAGCAGAACUGGACAUGAAGUGGGGAAGAGCAAGGACAAACUGGAACUCAUGAGGAGAACAAAGUCGAAUUUGCAUCUGUCUCACUGCCUACAACAAUGAUGAUAUGGAUGGCCUUCAGGACAAGCUGGUGCCCUUUGCCAUGGAAUUGUACAUACACCUGGCCCAGGACCCAGAGAGGUUGAAGGAGAUCCAGUGGGAGCUAGAGGGGUUGUAGCCAAAUGCUGCUCUAUGGCAAUAAGGUGAACUACUAAAUCAGCAACAUUGUGCAUAAGGUGCCACAGUGCUUGGUACCCCACGUCAAUCUUCAGAGGGUAAAAAUGGCUGUUCUUUCAUUUAUUCUUUCCAAAUAUCAUGCAGAUUUCUCUCAUGGCCAAUUAGGAAACAUUUAGGAAAGGGAAUUCUUGCAAGUAUAGUUCCAGCUAGUUGACAGUACAAAACUAUGUCUUAUGCUCUCUUUAGAACAAUGGGAGAAUCUAGGAACACCUAACUCUGUCCUGUUCCAACUUAAAUGAUAGUUUUGUAAUAUUUUAGUUCUUCCUUUAAAUAUUACAGAUUAAAAGCCAUUAUAAUUAUUUUCUAUAGAUAACGUUUGCUUAAAUUUACCUCAUGUUUAUCAGUUCCUUACCAUUCCUUCUUGCAUCUCAGACUUUCCUUCUGUGAUCAUUUUCCUUCUCCCCAGAGUAUAUCCUUUAGAAGUUCCUUUAUUGUAUAUAGACCUGAGGGUAAUAAACAUUUUCAUUGUUUUCCUGUAAAUGUCUUAUCUUUCCUUGGUUUUUGAAAGGAUGACACUUCGAGAAUUUUUUUUCUUUGUCUGUUUUUAAGGUCAUCUCUUAAGCUGGUGAACUGCAGUUUCAUUGUGAGGUGCCUAACUGUGGAAUUUCUUCUAUUUUUUUUCUCUAUUUGUGGAUUCAUUUAUUUUGUUAGUUCUGGAAAAUUCUGAGCCUUUUUCUUUUUAAAUAAUAACUGUUCUUUAUGCUCUUUCCUUCUGAGAUUCCCAUUAGAUGUUUGUGGGAUCUUCUCAUUCUGUCUUUCAUAUCAUUUAAUGUUUCUUUCAUAUUUUCAUCUCUUUGUCUCUCUGUGCUGCGUUCUGGGAAAAUUUUUUCAGUCUAUUUUUCAUUUCACUGGACUUUUCAGCUGUGUUGACUCUACUCUUUAAUCCAUCUGCUGAAUUUUUGGUUUAGCAAAUACAUUUUUCAUUUCUAAAAAUUCUAUUCAGUUCCUUUUUACAUUUGCCUACUCAUUUUUUAAUAAUCUCUUAUUGCUUGCUUAUUUUAAUGAUUUCGUAUUUUUAUUUUUUAAAUAGAGACAAGGUCUCACUAUGUUGCCUAGGCUAGUCUUGAACUCUUGGCCUCAAGUGAUCUUCCUGUCUCAGCCUUCCAAAGUACUGGGAUUACUACAGGCAUGAGCCACUAUGCCUGGCCAGAUUUCACAUUUUUAAAAAAUCAUAAUUAUUCUAUAUUAUUAUUUUUUGAGAUGGAGUCUUGCUCUGUCACCCAGGCUGGAGUGCGGUGGCAUGAUCUUGGCUCAUUGCAAGCUCUGCCUCCUGGGUUCACACCAUUCUCCUGCCUCAGCCUCCUGAGUAGCUGGGACUACAGGCAUCCACCACCAUGCCCGGCUAAUUUUUUAUAUUUUUAGUAGAGAUGGGGUUUCACCGUGUUAGCCAGGAUGGUCUCGAUCUCCUGACCUCAUGAUCCACCCACCUCGGCCUCCCAAAGUGCUGGGAUUACAGCUGUGAGCCACUGCACCCGGCCCAAUUAUUCUAUAUUAUUUAACUGUUAAUUCUAAUAUCUGAAAUUCUUGGGAGUUUAAGUUUAUUGUUUGUUGUGUCUGCAGAUUCUGUAAUAUGGUGGUUUGUUUUCUUUUAUCUCUUAUUGUGAGCUCAUGUUUAAUUGGCCGUUCUUCAAAGGAUACCUGGAAACCUACACUGAGGAUGUUUACCGCCAUUGAAGAUAAAUAUGUGUGUGUGGGGUGUGUGUUGGGGGGCAGAGACAUGGAACUUUCUGGUUAAGUUUGGAAUGUACAGAUUUAAUUCCUCUAUCUUUCAGCUAGUUUAAGGCUUAAAUGCCUGUUUAUAGUGCUAAUAAUGGCAUUUGUCCUCAGGACAAUCCUGUCUUCUUAACUAUACUUACCACUCAUCUCCAUGAGACUCCAACACAAAAUAAAAAUUAAUUUUUAUUCAGAACUUAAGUUGUUUUGAAGCAACAGGGCCCUUCAGAGUUUCUAGACCACCAUACUGCCAAAAGCAGCAGCUUUUCCUUCAUUCUUUUUUUUUUUUUUUAAGAGACAGGGCCUCGCUCUGUCAUCCAGGCUGGAGUAAAGUGGUGUGAUCAAGGCUCACUGCAGCCUCAACCUCCUGGGCUCAAGUGAUUCUAUCUCAGCCUCCCGAGUAGCUGGGACUAUGGGCACAUGCCACUGCACCUGGCUAAUCUUUGUAUUUUUGGUAGAGACAGGAUUUCACCAUGAUGCCCAGGCUGGUCUUGAACUCGUAGGCUCAAGCAAUCUUCCUGUCUGCUUCAACCUCCCAAAGUGCUUGGAUUACUGGCCUGAGACACCAUGCCUGGCUUUUCCUUCAUUCUUAAUACCACUGCUAUCUGACUUUCACUCCUCGCCAUUCAUUGAAGCUGUCUGGCUAAGUUACCAAGAGUUACUACAUCCGAGAGAUUUCUCUGUCACUAACACUUGACACUGAUCUUUGUCUAAUAAUGCUGUCUUUAUUGGUUUAUCUUUGAUUUUCCUCCUAGUUCUCUGGCAAUAAUUCUCUGUCUUCUUUUAUGGCUUUUUUUCCUUUACCUACCCUUAAAUAUUUAUAUUCUCCAAAGUUAUGUCCUUGGCCAUUUUCUCUCUCUUCUUUGGCAAUUUCAUCUCUUCCUAUGACUUCACCCACCAUUUAUAUGAUGAUGACUUCAAGAUCUCUAUCUAUAACCCAGACCUCUUUCCUUUGCUUCAGAUAAGUAUAUCUAACUACUUGCCAAACAUCUUUUCCUGGAUAUCCUCAAAUAUUUUUGUUCUCAAAUGAACUCCAAAUCUCUAAUCUGUUAUUCCAAACCUCAGUUGAUAGCAUUAGCAUUCCUCCAGCUGCCACAGCCAAAAACUCAAGGGUCACCCUAAUCUCUCACCUUACCAUCCAUAUGGUGACCAAAAUCUGUUCAUCUACUUUUUAAAAUUCCCUUCUAUUGAGUAUGGAGUCAGGCACUCUCAUAUUUUGCUUGUGGAAAUGUAAAUUGUUACAACCCUUACUUAUUAUGGCAAUUUGAGGUAUAUAGCAAAAGUUUUAAAAAUGUGUAUAUCUUUUCUCCUAACAAUUUCAUGUCUAGUAAUUUAUCCUAAGGGAAUAAUUGGAAAUGUGUACAAAGAUACAUGUAUAAGAAUGAUUAUACUAGCAAAAUUUUAUAAAGUACCUAAAUUUUCAAUAAGAUUCCUUAAAUACACCAUUUUGUAAUAAAUUUUAUUUAUUUUUAUAAUAAACAAUAUUUGCUUCCUGAAAGGGCAUACGAUAAUAUAUUAACAAUGGUAAUUUUAGGUAGUAGGAUUUUAGACCUUUUUUCUUUGUGCUUCUCUGAGUUAUCUGCAUUUUCUACAUUCAGCGUAUAUUUAUUUUGGAGUUAGACAAAAUAAAUUAUUUUAAAAAUUC